AGAAUUUGCGCACAAAAUUUUUCAUUUUUAAAAAAAUGAAUUUUUUUUUUCAUUCAUAGGCAAGUGGGGUUAAAGGAUUACAAAGAAUGUUCAUCAGAAAGUUUCAAUCUUUUUCUUUUUUUCUCCAAAGUUACUGUCAUUUCUUAAUGUAGAGGAAGAUUCUUGGGUUCACACUAGAUCUGGGGUUCAAUGAACUUUUGGGGUUUGUAUUUAAGUAACAACUGGUGUUAAUCUGUGCAUAUAAUGCUGAAAACUUGAGUUUUGCAGUUUGUCUGGUGGCUAGUGGCUAGUGGAGCUAAAAAGAUUGAAUUUUGGGGUUUUUUUUGCUCUAAUGGGGAUUUGUCUGAGUAACCAAAUCAAGGCUGAGACAACAUUUUAUACUGUUUCAGGGUUGGAUUCAAGAAAUGUCAGUGGAAAUGGUACAGAUAUUAGUAAUUCGAAUAGCAAACACUCACCGACAACUCCUCGGAGUGAGGGUGAGAUCUUGCAAUCAUCCAACUUGAGGAGCUUCACACUCAGUGAACUUCGAUCUGCAACCAGAAAUUUCCGUCCUGACAGUGUAGUUGGAGGAGGUGGUUUUGGUUCAGUUUUCAAAGGGUGGGUCGACGAACAUACUCUUGCAGCAUCAAUGCCUGGCACAGGGAUUUUGAUAGCUGUGAAAAAGUUAAACCAAGAAGGGUGGCAGGGGCACAGAGAAUGGCUGGAUGAGAUAAACUAUCUUGGGCAACUACACCAUCCAAAUCUUGGAAAUUUGAUCGGUUAUUGCUUAGAGGAAGAUCAUAGGCUCUUGGUCUAUGAGUUUAUGCCUAAGGGUAGCAUGGAGAUUCAUCUAUUUUGGAGAGGUUCAUACUUCCAACCACUUUCUUGGAGCCUUCGUAUGAAAGUUGCACUUGGUGCUGCAAGGGGCCUUGCUUUUCUUCAUAAUGCUGAAACAAAAGUUAUUUACAGGGACUUCAAGACUUCUAAUAUUCUGCUGGACUCGGACUACAAUGCCAAACUUUCUGAUUUUGGGUUGGCCAGAGAUGGCCCCGUAGGUGAUCAGAGCCACGUGUCUACUCGGGUUGUGGGAACUUAUGGAUAUGCUGAUCCAGAGUACCUAUCCACAGGCCAUCUUACUGCCAAGAGUGAUGUAUACAGCUUCGGGGUAGUUCUGUUAGAAAUUCUAUCCGGUAAGAAAGCAAUAGACAAGAAUCGACCGAUGGGGGAACAUAAUCUUGUUGAUUGGGCAAAACCUUAUUUGACCAGUAAACGUAGAGUUUCCCGUGUUCUAGAUGCCCGUCUUGAAGGACAAUAUUCACUCAGUCAUGCCUUAAAGGUUGCUAUCCUGUCUCUUCAAUGCAUAUCGAUGGACCCCAAGUCAAGGCCAACAAUGGACGAAGUAGUAACAGCUCUAGAACAGCUUCAGCAGUCCAAGGAUGUAGCAAAAAAUGAUACGAAAGUCCGGCAGGUAAAUCAGCAUAGUCGAUCAAGUUUUGCGUUCAAAAAGUCCUGAAAAAGCAGACUCCCGCGAAAUCCAAUUACCCAAGACCUUCACUUUCACUCCUCUCAUAGAAAGAAGAAAGAAAGUUUUUGGUGUGCCAGUUACUAGUACCACUUCUGUUCAAGAACUUGCUGGCAUAUAACUAAGAACAUGUCUUCAACAAGGAUGUACAGCUUGUCCUCUUUCUGUUCAUUGUGUUUUAGUUUGUUGGAUAAUGUUUGAACAAUAGAUUUAUGUGUGCCCAGUUUAUUAGUUAUGUAAGUUUACCUACUUUUAGAGUUCUAUUUACUACAACUACAUCCCCAUGUAUGUAGACUUUAUCCUUAUGUUGAGAGGUACAAAAGUUGUUUCUGAUA